GGACCUGUGAACAUACAGAAACAAAAAACACGGGAGUGGUUCUUUCCUGAUUACCGCAUGUCAUGCAUGCCAGGAAGCGUCCGUGAUUUUUUACUGUGACUAAAAAAGUGCGACCAAAGCAGUCAGUCGACUUGAAUUAAAAAGCAUGGGAUAACAAAGGAGCAGCCUAUGGGCUACCGUUUCGGCUUUUGUUGGUAUUAAAAGUCCAUUGGAGAUUAUGGGGUCGUGUGACAAGCGGUCGGGCGCGUUUUGCAUCUGGUCAUCAUUGUAUGGUCAGGGCACGCAGUCCGUCGCCCCCGGGGGAGACCAACCGUGCACGGUGUGGUGCGAGGCACUUUGUGUGUUCCCGUCACCCACGCGCACGCCUCUUUCGGCUCGCGGCGCCCAGGAAUGAAGGAGGGUAGUUCGGGG
rnacentral:rRNA from 1 species